rnacentral:ncRNA from 13 species
AUAUAAGUUGGAAGCAAAGAUCAUUCAUUGGUAAAAUGGGCGCUGUUUGUGAAUAGGAGAGAGUGGCGCAACCGGCCAGCACACGC